rnacentral:rRNA from 1 species
AAUACCGCGUAACGCGGCCUAGGGACAUCCCAAGGCCGCCAAAGGGAGCAAUCCCGGCCACGGAUGGGCAUGCGGCGCAUUAGCUAGUCGGCGGGGUAACGGCCCACCGAGGCGACGAUGCGUAGGGGUUCUGAGAGGAAGGCCCCCCACACUGGUACUGAGACACGGACCAGACUCCUACGGGAGGCAGCAGUGAGGAAUAUUGGUCAAUGGGCGCGAGCCUGAACCAGCCAAGUCGCGUGAGGGAGGACGGCCCUACGGGUUGUAAACCUCUUCUGCCGGGGAGCAAAGUGCCGCACGUGUGCGGUUUGGAGAGUACCCGGAGAAAAAGCAUCGGCUAACCCCGUGCCAGCAGCCGCGGUAAUACGGAGGAUGCGAGCGUUAUCCGGAUUUAUUGGGUUUAAAGGGUGCGUAGGCGGACGCUUAAGUCAGCGGUAAAAUUGCGGGGCUCAACCUCGUCGAGCCGUUGAAACUGGGUGCCUUGAGUGGGCGAGAAGUACGCGGAAUGCGUGGUGUAGCGGUGAAAUGCAUAGAUAUCACGCAGAACUCCGAUUGCGAAGGCAGCGUACCGGCGCCCAACUGACGCUGAAGCACGAAGGCGUGGGUAUCGAACAGGAUUAGAUACCCUGGUAGUCCACGCAGUAAACGAUGAAAGGGAGUUGUCCGGGGCGAUUGAGUUCUGGGUGACACAGC